AUUGAACGCUGGCGGCAUGCUUUACACAUGCAAGUCGAGCGGUAACAGGCCUUCGUUUGCUGACGAGUGUCGAACGGGGGAGUAAUGCAUCGGAACGUACCCAGAGGUUGGGGAUAACGCAUCGCAAGCUGUGCUAAUACCUCAUGUGAUCUGAUGAUGAAAGCGGGGGACCGCACAGCAAUGUUUGGCCUCUCGCCUUUGGAGCGGCCGAUGUCGGAUUAGCUAGUUGGGUUGGUAAAGGCCUAACAAGGCGACGAUCCGUAGCUGGUCUGAGAGGACGAACAGCCAACAUGGGAAUGAGAACAGGGCCAGAAUCCUAAGGGAGGCAGGAGUGGGGAAAUCUGGACAAUGGGGGGAAGCCUGAUCCAGCAAUGCCGCGUGCGGGAAGAAGGCCUUCGGGUUGUAAAACGCUUUUGGCAGGAACGAAACGGUGUCCGCUAAUACCGGGCGCUAAUGACGGUACCUGAAGAAUAAGCACCGGCUAACUACGUG
rnacentral:rRNA from 1 species